rnacentral:rRNA from 1 species
UACGUAGGUGGCAAGCGUUAUCCGGAUUUACUGGGUGUAAAGGGCGUGUAGGCGGGGAAGCAAGUCAGAUGUGAAAUUCCAGGGCUCAACCCUGGAACUGCAUUUGAAACUGUUUUUCUUGAGUGAUGGAGAGGCAGGCGGAAUUCCGUGUGUAGCGGUGAAAUGCGUAGAUAUACGGAGGAACACCAGUGGCGAAGGCGGCCUGCUGGACAUUAACUGACGCUGAGGCGCGAAAGCGUGGGGAGCAA